GCCUGGGUGGCUCAGUCGGUUAAGCAUCCGACUUCAGCUCAGGUCAUGAUCUCACGGUUUGUGGGUUCAAGCCCCACGUUGGGCU
rnacentral:tRNA from 1 species